rnacentral:rRNA from 1 species
AAAUUGAAGAGUUUGAUCAUGGCUCAGAUUGAACGCUGGCGGCAGGCCUAACACAUGCAAGUCGAACGGUAACAGGAAGCAGCUUGCUGCUUUGCUGACGAGUGGCGGACGGGUGAGUAAUGUCUGGGAAACUGCCUGAUGGAGGGGGAUAACUACUGGAAACGGUGGCUAAUACCGCAUAACGUCGCAAGACCAAAGAGGGGGACCUUCGGGCCUCUUGCCAUCAGAUGUGCCCAGAUGGGAUUAGCUUGUUGGUGAGGUAACGGCUCACCAAGGCGACGAUCCCUAGCUGGUCUGAGAGGAUGACCAGCCACACUGGAACUGAGACACGGUCCAGACUCCUACGGGAGGCAGCAGUGGGGAAUAUUGCACAAUGGGCGCAAGCCUGAUGCAGCCAUGCCGCGUGUAUGAAGAAGGCCUUCGGGUUGUAAAGUACUUUCAGCGGGGAGGAAGGUGUUGUGGUUAAUAACCGCAGCAAUUGACGUUACCCGCAGAAGAAGCACCGGCUAACUCCGUGCCAGCAGCCGCGGUAAUACGGAGGGUGCAAGCGUUAAUCGGAAUUACUGGGCGUAAAGCGCACGCAGGCGGUCUGUCAAGUCGGAUGUGAAAUCCCCGGGCUCAACCUGGGAACUGCAUUCGAAACUGGCAGGCUUGAGUCUUGUAGAGGGGGGUAGAAUUCCAGGUGUAGCGGUGAAAUGCGUAGAGAUCUGGAGGAAUACCGGUGGCGAAGGCGGCCCCCUGGACAAAGACUGACGCUCAGGUGCGAAAGCGUGGGGAGCAAACAGGAUUAGAUACCCUGGUAGUCCACGCCGUAAACGAUGUCUACUUGGAGGUUGUGCCCUUGAGGCGUGGCUUCCGGAGCUAACGCGUUAAGUAGACCGCCUGGGGAGUACGGCCGCAAGGUUAAAACUCAAAUGAAUUGACGGGGGCCCGCACAAGCGGUGGAGCAUGUGGUUUAAUUCGAUGCAACGCGAAGAACCUUACCUGGUCUUGACAUCCACAGAAGAAUCCAGAGAUGGAUUGGUGCCUUCGGGAACUGUGAGACAGGUGCUGCAUGGCUGUCGUCAGCUCGUGUUGUGAAAUGUUGGGUUAAGUCCCGCAACGAGCGCAACCCUUAUCCUUUGUUGCCAGCGGUUAGGCCGGGAACUCAAAGGAGACUGCCAGUGAUAAACUGGAGGAAGGUGGGGAUGACGUCAAGUCAUCAUGGCCCUUACGACCAGGGCUACACACGUGCUACAAUGGCGCAUACAAAGAGAAGCGACCUCGCGAGAGCAAGCGGACCUCAUAAAGUGCGUCGUAGUCCGGAUUGGAGUCUGCAACUCGACUCCAUGAAGUCGGAAUCGCUAGUAAUCGUGGAUCAGAAUGCCACGGUGAAUACGUUCCCGGGCCUUGUACACACCGCCCGUCACACCAUGGGAGUGGGUUGCAAAAGAAGUAGGUAGCUUAACCUUCGGGAGGGCGCUUACCACUUUGUGAUUCAUGACUGGGGUGAAGUCGUAACAAGGUAACCGUAGGGGAACCUGCGGUUGGAUCACCUCCUUACCUUAAAGAA